UACGGAGGGUGCAAACGUUGCUCGGAAUCAUUGGGCGUAAAGCGCACGUAGGCGGCUCCUCAAGUCGGAUGUGAAAGCCCUGGGCUCAACUCAGGAAGUGCAUCCGAAACUGUGGAGCUUGAAUGCCGGAGGGGCGCAGAGAAUUCCCGGUGUAGAGGUGAAAUUCGUAGAUAUCGGGAGGAAUACCAGUGGCGAAGGCGCUGGGGUGGACGGUCAUUGACGCUGAGGUGCGAAAGCGUGGGGAGCAAACAGG
rnacentral:rRNA from 1 species